rnacentral:tRNA from 1 species
GCCGGCUUAGCUCAGCUGGUAGAGCAGCGGUUUUGUAAACCGAAGGUCGCGGGUUCGAUUCCUGCAGCCGGCACCA